rnacentral:rRNA from 1 species
UGGGGAAUAUUGCACAAUGGGCGCAAGCCUGAUGCAGCCAUGCCGCGUGUAUGAAGAAGGCCUUCGGGUUGUAAAGUACUUUCAGUCGGGAGGAAGGUGUCAAGGUUAAUAACCUUGGCAAUUGACGUUACCGACAGAAGAAGCACCGGCUAACUCCGUGCCAGCAGCCGCGGUAAUACGGAGGGUGCAAGCGUUAAUCGGAAUUACUGGGCGUAAAGCGCACGCAGGCGGUUGAUUGAGUCAGAUGUGAAAUCCCCGGGCUUAACCCGGGAAUUGCAUCUGAUACUGGUCAGCUAGAGUCUUGUAGAGGGGGGUAGAAUUCCAUGUGUAGCGGUGAAAUGCGUAGAUAUAUGGAGGAACACCAGUGGCGAAGGCGGCUCUCUGGUCUGUAACUGACGCUGAGGCUCGAAAGCGUGGGGAGCAAACAGG